CCUGGCGGCAAUAGCGCGGUGGUCCCACCUGACCCCAUGCCGAACUCAGAAGUGAAACGCCGUAGCGCCGAUGGUAGUAG
rnacentral:rRNA from 1 species